rnacentral:rRNA from 1 species
ACUUAAAUUGAAGAGUUUGAUCAUGGCUCAGAUUGAACGCUGGCGGCAGGCCUAACACAUGCAAGUCGAGCGGUAGCACAGAGAGCUUGCUCUCGGGUGACGAGCGGCGGACGGGUGAGUAAUGUCUGGGAAACUGCCUGAUGGAGGGGGAUAACUACUGGAAACGGUAGCUAAUACCGCAUAACGUCGCAAGACCAAAGUGGGGGACCUUCGGGCCUCAUGCCAUCAGAUGUGCCCAGAUGGGAUUAGCUAGUAGGUGGGGUAACGGCUCACCUAGGCGACGAUCCCUAGCUGGUCUGAGAGGAUGACCAGCCACACUGGAACUGAGACACGGUCCAGACUCCUACGGGAGGCAGCAGUGGGGAAUAUUGCACAAUGGGCGCAAGCCUGAUGCAGCCAUGCCGCGUGUGUGAAGAAGGCCUUCGGGUUGUAAAGCACUUUCAGCGGGGAGGAAGGCGAUAAGGUUAAUAACCUCAUCGAUUGACGUUACCCGCAGAAGAAGCACCGGCUAACUCCGUGCCAGCAGCCGCGGUAAUACGGAGGGUGCAAGCGUUAAUCGGAAUUACUGGGCGUAAAGCGCACGCAGGCGGUCUGUCAAGUCGGAUGUGAAAUCCCCGGGCUCAACCUGGGAACUGCAUUCGAAACUGGCAGGCUAGAGUCUUGUAGAGGGGGGUAGAAUUCCAGGUGUAGCGGUGAAAUGCGUAGAGAUCUGGAGGAAUACCGGUGGCGAAGGCGGCCCCCUGGACAAAGACUGACGCUCAGGUGCGAAAGCGUGGGGAGCAAACAGGAUUAGAUACCCUGGUAGUCCACGCCGUAAACGAUGUCGAUUUGGAGGUUGUGCCCUUGAGGCGUGGCUUCCGGAGCUAACGCGUUAAAUCGACCGCCUGGGGAGUACGGCCGCAAGGUUAAAACUCAAAUGAAUUGACGGGGGCCCGCACAAGCGGUGGAGCAUGUGGUUUAAUUCGAUGCAACGCGAAGAACCUUACCUGGUCUUGACAUCCACAGAACUUUCCAGAGAUGGAUUGGUGCCUUCGGGAACUGUGAGACAGGUGCUGCAUGGCUGUCGUCAGCUCGUGUUGUGAAAUGUUGGGUUAAGUCCCGCAACGAGCGCAACCCUUAUCCUUUGUUGCCAGCGGUUCGGCCGGGAACUCAAAGGAGACUGCCAGUGAUAAACUGGAGGAAGGUGGGGAUGACGUCAAGUCAUCAUGGCCCUUACGACCAGGGCUACACACGUGCUACAAUGGCAUAUACAAAGAGAAGCGACCUCGCGAGAGCAAGCGGACCUCAUAAAGUAUGUCGUAGUCCGGAUUGGAGUCUGCAACUCGACUCCAUGAAGUCGGAAUCGCUAGUAAUCGUAGAUCAGAAUGCUACGGUGAAUACGUUCCCGGGCCUUGUACACACCGCCCGUCACACCAUGGGAGUGGGUUGCAAAAGAAGUAGGUAGCUUAACCUUCGGGAGGGCGCUUACCACUUUGUGAUUCAUGACUGGGGUGAAGUCGUAACAAGGUAACCGUAGGGGAACCUGCGGUUGGAUCACCUCCUUACCUUAAAGAA